rnacentral:rRNA from 1 species
GUAUUUUGACCGUGCAAAGGUAGCGCAAUCACUUGUCUUUUAAAUGAAGACCUGUAUGAAUGGUGGAACGAGGGCUUAACUGUCUCCCCCUUCUAGUCAAUGAAAUUGAUCUACCCGUGCAGAAGCGGGUAUAAUAAUACAAGACGAGAAGACCCUUUGGAGCUUAAGAUAAAAGACCAACUAUGUCAAAAGUCCUAAAAAAGACUAAACCAAAUAGUACUAGUCCUAAUCUUCGGUUGGGGUGACCACGGGAGAAAACAAAGCUCCCAUGCGGAUUGGGGUAAUUCCCUAAAACUGAGAGAGACAUCUCUAAGACGCAGAACAUCUGACCAUAAAGAUCCGGCUACAUGCCGACCAACGGACCAAGUUACCCUAGGGAUAACAGCGCAAUCCCCUUCCAGAGUCCAUAUCGACCAAGGGGGUUUACGACCUCGAUGUUGGAUCAGGACAUCCU